rnacentral:lncRNA from 1 species
UCCCUCCCACUGACCUUACUUAUCUGGCCAACGUGAUAGAUUAUGUUUUGAUUAGAUCACUAGUCGAUUCGUGUAGACCCAUGCCAUUAAGAUGAAUCAGUGUGACUGAUUUAGGUGUCUUUAGACCAGCUUGUGUCUGAUCCUUUAUAUGACUUGGUGAAAUCAGUGGGAAGAUUUAUAGCUUGCGGGUUGACUUCUUCUCUUAUUCUCAGAUCAAUUAAAUUAAAUCUUUUAAAUUAUUAAGUCCAUAAAAUGAUAAAGUUAUGAGAUAACUUGGUCAUUGCCUCCUAUUAAGGUGUGUGAUAAUGAGUCUAAUAUUCCAAAU